GCUGGGGGCGGGGCCUCCCUGGGACGGCUGGUCCCGCGCAAGCUCGUGCGGCGAGGCUCCAGGUCCGUGGCCGCAGGGAAGGGUGGCUUGCGGGAGGGCCCCGUCCCGCCCGGGCCGGAAGGUGGGCGGCCUGGAAGAGAGGCUCAGGCGGAGGGGGCAGCGCGUGCAGAGGGCGCAGACCUCGGGAGAUCACUCCCCUCUGAGCCCGCCGGUGGAAAAUGAAGCCUCAACACUCCAAGACCCCCGAGUGCCGCUUGGUUCUUCCGUCGGUGAACCAGUCCAGGUUUUCCAGUAUUUUCCGUAACAGGGGUCCCCAGGACAAGCUCAAAGUGAAGGGUCUCGACUGUAGAGCGAAAUCAGAGGAAGGUGGAAACAGAGAGUGACAGUGACAGGGAAAAACACGCCAGGACAGCAGUCUAGUCCAGGCGGCUCCCUGCUGCUGCUCUUCUUAGCAAAGACAACAGAAACUCCCUUAACUUCUGCCCCCUGCACUCCCGGCUCUGCCAGGCACUCACUCCCAAAACUGCCUCCCCCUGCCUGCUCGGUUGCUGUGCAGGUAGGAAUGUUACAGCUACAGAAGCAGAAGAUACAUAUUGCUCCCCUUGCCUUUGUUCGGGGCCCAGACCUCGGGAGAUGACUCCCCUCUGAGCCCACCGGUGGAAAAUAAAGCUUCAACACUCCAA